rnacentral:rRNA from 1 species
UACAGAGGUCCCGAGCGUUGUUCGGAUUCACUGGGCGUAAAGGGCGCGUAGGCGGUCGUGACAAGUCACUUGUGAAAUCUCCGGGCUUAACUCGGAACGGUCAAGUGAUACUGUCGGACUAGAGUACAGAAGGGGCAACUGGAAUUCUCGGUGUAGCGGUGAAAUGCGUAGAUAUCGAGAGGAACACCAGUGGCGAAGGCGGUGCUCUGGGCCGGAACUGACGCUGAGGAGCGAAAGCGUGGGGAGCAAACAGG